UCUCUGAUGGUCCAGUGGCUAAGACUCUGUGCUCCCAAUGCAGGGGGCCUGGGUUCAAUCCUUGGUCAGGGAA
rnacentral:tRNA from 1 species